rnacentral:lncRNA from 1 species
UUUUUCUACCUGGGCCCUCACCACACUCCACUUCCAUCCCCACUCCCCAAUCCAUCCUCUGUGAUCACUGUCCCUCUCAUCUCCAACUCUGCCCACGCCUUCAGGCAAUCAGCACAUAGACUAAGUCCUUACUGGGGUCUGCACAGACAGAACCAAAGGCUUGGACACAUGAAGAGUGGAGAUCAGGGAAAAGGCUUUCCUGGGCUCU